ACUGAUAUCCUGGAGCAGAGGGAUAACAGGGUGUACGGUGGAAUUUCGGAAGAAACGGUGUGUGGGAUACCACUUACCCACUGGAUGACAGUCAGACGGUCCUGUUUGGUGGUAACAAAAGUUGCACAGAACAAACAAGAUUGUACGGAACAGAAUCUUCCAACACUGGCAGACCAGGUUAGAUCUAUCGGUUAUGGUGGAAUCGCGGAAAUAUAGGUCAUAAACAACGGGUGAAAUUACUUUCACAACGGUAUACGGACCAGAGAACUUCGG